GAUGAACGCUGGCGGCGUGCCUAAUACAUGCAAGUCGAGCGAACAGACGAGGAGCUUGCUCCUCUGACGUUAGCGGCGGACGGGUGAGUAACACGUGGAUAACCUACCUAUAAGACUGGGAUAACUUCGGGAAACCGGAGCUAAUACCGGAUAAUAUAUUGAACCGCAUGGUUCAAUAGUGAAGGACGGUUUUGCUGUCACUUAUAGAUGGAUCCGCGCCGCAUUAGCUAGUUGGUAAGGUAACGGCUUACCAAGGCGACGAUGCGUAGCCGACCUGAGAGGGUGAUCGGCCACACUGGAACUGAGACACGGUCCAGACUCCUACGGGAGGCAGCAGUAGGGAAUCUUCCGCAAUGGGCGAAAGCCUGACGGAGCAACGCCGCGUGAGUGAUGAAGGUCUUCGGAUCGUAAAACUCUGUUAUUAGGGAAGAACAAAUGUGUAAGUAACUAUGCACGUCUUGACGGCACCUAAUCAGAAAGCCACGGCUAACUACGUG
rnacentral:rRNA from 1 species